CUUCAUUAGGUGGCUGAAGCAGCUGUACACCAGUUGAUCUGUGGAUAGAAAGUGGAUGGAUUAGAGUGCUGCAAAACCUGGGAUCCAUGUUUGUACUGGACAUGGCAAGAUGCUGCAAGAUACAGGACUCCAGUCAUCAGAGCUGGCAAUGACUGAGGGCUUGUCUACACUACCAGCUGGAUCGACCGGCUGCGAUUGAUCCAGCAGGGUUCAAUUUAUCGGGUCUAGUAUAGACACGAUAAAUUGACCGUCAAUCGCUCUAGAGUUGACUCCAGUACUCCACCUCAAUGAGAAGUGCAAGGGGAAUCAACGGGAGCAUGUCUCCUGUUGAGACACCGCAACCUGAAGAAGAGCUCUAUGAAGCUCCAAAGCUUAUUACCUUCCACCAACAGAAUUUGGCUCAAUAAAAGAUAUUACCUCACCUACCCUUCUCUCUCAUAGCCUGGGACCAACCUGGCUACAACAACACCGCCAUUGACAAAAUAGGGGUGUAAGCAUCCUUUGACGGAUUACUGGUUUGCCUAUGUCUAUAAAACUGAACUCCCUCCAUCACUGACCUAAACACAUAGACAUAAGAGCUGGCUGAAGGUUUUUUUGAUUGAAAGGUUCAAGUUUUUCAAUUAAAAAAGAAAAUUACCCUGAACAACAUUCAGUUUUAAAACCAAAAAUGUUAUGACAGGAGUUUUUGAAAACAAAACUUCCUGGGGGCAGUUCAAGCAUCACACCAACAAGUUUAGAACAUUCCUGGCCAAAAAAAAUAAUUGGCAUUUUUGGACUGGCGCGACUAGACACCAGUGGUUCCCACCGGGCAAGUCUAGAGGAUUGUCGAGCAACCUUCCAAGGGAAGCAGGAGAAACUAAAGGACGAGCACAGCACAGAAACAGAUGCAGCAGGGAAAACGCUGUGCUGACCAGAGGCUUGGAGAACAUGAGCUAAAUGAAGAUGGCGCUCACCUCUUUCUGUUGAUCAUUUAUAUAGCACUGAACAGAAGCCCCAGAAGGCCUGAUUCUCCUCUUGCAUACACGGACGUAAAACCAGUUUACUGCAAGAAGAAUCAGGGGCUAUUGAGACACCUCGGUCCUAUCACUAUAGUGUCUCCCCAAGCUUUUAAUGUACGUCUCCUCACAACACCGCUUGAGAGGGGGGCAGAGCAGGGCAUUGGAUCCAGGUCUCCCAAGUCGCAGAGUAGUCCCCUUGCCACUGGAGCCUCCUUCCUUUCUGUUCCACAGAACAAGUGUGAUCUGCCAUACGACACGGUAGAAGGCUUUGUAAAGGAAGUGGCGAGAGCAGGAGGGGAGGCUGCUUAGCACAUGGUGUGCGGGAGGCUCUUCUAGGUGCACGCUGGUUGCGCUGGCUACACCACAGACUGAAAAGUGAAGACUGUCCUAGAGACAAGGAGGCAGUUCUCUCUCUCUCUCUCUCUCUCUCUCGUUGUUGGUGAUGCUGUAGCACCUCCACAGUGUGCACCCCGUAACCCGGAGCAGGGCCGCCUGGGAGCCGUGAAGCGUCUCUCCCAUAAAACUCGCCAUUGCUGCUUGGAGCAAGGGGCAUUGGGGUGACUUUUCCCCCUAGGCAAGGCCUUGCCUUGGGGGGGUGGAGGUAGGGGACCGCUGGCUGAACAGGUGCAACGGCAACACUUGUGACUUCUCCUCCGCCUGCCAAGGAAACCUAUCAAAGACCAUUUUGAAAAGUGCCGGGGUUUAGGAGCCUAACUUCCAAUUUCAAAAGUGACCCGGGAAUUUAGGAGCAUGUGUCCCAUUGAUAUAUUUUUUUUUUCCCAUGGCGACUUAGGCUCCUAAAUGCCUGGGUCCCUUUUGAAAGGGGGGACUUCGGCACUCUUGAAUUUUUUUUCCCCUCAGUCUCAGAUGUUGUCAUUGACACGUCCACCAUGGCUAUGUUAAUAAGCGGGCGCAGGAUGGCAGGCGUGUGUGCGCGGUGUGCAAAGAGCCCCGUAGGCAGCAAGCCCAGAGCUCUCAUCCACCACUGUCGCUUUCUGCUGAUAGAGUCAAGCCCUCUCCCCAGGCCUGGCCCGUUUACCUGU